rnacentral:rRNA from 1 species
AAUUGGAGGGCAAGUCUGGUGCCAGCAGCCGCGGUAAUUCCAGCCCCAAUAGCGUAUAUUAAAGUUGUUGCAGUUAAAAAGCUCGUAGUUGAAUUUCGGGAUCAAUAUUUCGGUCAUGCCGUUGGUAUGCACUGUUAUAAUUGAUUUCUCACCUUCUAAAGAACCGUAAUGCCAUUAAUUUGGUGUUACGGGGAAUUAGGACUGUUACCUUGAAAAAAUUAGAGUGUUUAAAGCAGGCUCACGCUUGAAUACAUUAGCAUGGAAUAAUGAAAUAGGACAUCCGAUUCUAUUUUGUUGGUUUCUAGGAUCGAUGUAAUGAUUAAUAGGGAUAGUUGGGGGCAUUAGUAUUCAAUUGUCAGAGGUGAAAUUCUUGGAUUUAUUGAAGACUAACUACUGCGAAAGCAUUUGCCAAGGAUGUUUUCAUUAAUCAAGAACGAAAGUUAGGGGAUCGAAGACGAUCAGAUACCGUCGUAGUCUUAACCAUAAACUAUGCCGACUAGGGAUCGGAUGAUGUUAAUUUUUUAAUGACUCAUUCGGCGCCUUACGGGAAACCAAAGUGU